rnacentral:rRNA from 1 species
AUUGAACGCUGGCGGCAUGCCUUACACAUGCAAGUCGAACGGUAACGGGCCUUCGGGUGCCGACGAGUGGCGAACGGGUGAGUAAUACAUCGGAACGUUCCCGAUCGUGGGGGAUAACGAGGCGAAAGCUUUGCUAAUACCGCAUACGAUCUACGGAUGAAAGCAGGGGACCGCAAGGCCUUGCGCGGACGGAGCGGCCGAUGGCAGAUUAGGUAGUUGGUGGGAUAAAAGCUUACCAAGCCGACGAUCUGUAGCUGGUCUGAGAGGAUGAUCAGCCACACUGGGACUGAGACACGGCCCAGACUCCUACGGGAGGCAGCAGUGGGGAAUUUUGGACAAUGGGCGCAAGCCUGAUCCAGCCAUGCCGCGUGCAGGAUGAAGGCCUUCGGGUUGUAAACUGCUUUUGUACGGAACGAAAAGCCUUCUUUUAAUACAGGAGGGUCAUGACGGUACCGUAAGAAUAAGCACCGGCUAACUAUGUG